rnacentral:rRNA from 1 species
GUAGGUGGCAAGCGUUGUCCGGAAUUAUUGGGCGUAAAUCGCGCGCAGGCGGUUUUUUAAGUCUGAUGUGAAAGCCCACGGCUCAACCGUGGAGGGUCAUUGGAAACUGGAGAACUUGAGUACAGAAGAGGAAAGCGGAAUUCCACGUGUAGCGGUGAAAUGCGUAGAGAUGUGGAGGAACACCAGUGGCGAAGGCGGCUUUCUGGUCUGUAACUGACGCUGAGGCGCGAAAGCGUGGGGAGCAAACAGGGAUUAGAUACCCUGGUAGUCCACGCCGUAAACGAUGAGUGCUAAGUGUUAGGGGGUUUCCCGCCCCUUAGUGCUGCAGCUAACGCAUUAAGCACUCCGCCUGGGGAGUACGGCCGCAAGGCUG